rnacentral:misc_RNA from 1 species
CCGAGUUAGGGUUCGUCCAACGAGCCCGACCUCCCAACCCUUUGUCUAUCUUACCUUGUCGUUGCUUCGGCGGACCGGCCGUGACCGACUGGUCGUGGCCGCCGGGGGUCCACCCCCUGGAGAGCGUCCGCCGACGGCCCAACCACAAACUCUUGUACCAAACCAUGUCGUCUGAAUUACUUGAUUAAAAUCAAAAAACA